rnacentral:rRNA from 1 species
CCCUACGGGGGGCAGCAGUCGGGAAUAUUGCGCAAUGGAGGAAACUCUGACGCAGUGACGCCGCGUAUAGGAAGAAGGUUUUCGGAUUGUAAACUAUUGUCGUUAGGGAAGAUAAAAGACUGUACCUAAGGAGGAAGCCCCGGCUAACUACGUGCCAGCAGCCGCGGUAAUACGUAGGGGGCAAGCGUUAUCCGGAUUUACUGGGUGUAAAGGGAGCGUAGACGGUGCAGCAAGUCUGAUGUGAAAGGUCGGGGCCCAACCCCGGGACUGCAUUGGAGACUGUUGAACUGGAGUACAGGAGAGGG